AUUGAACGCUGGCGGCAUGCCUUACACAUGCAAGUCGAACGGCAGCACGGGAGCAAUCCUGGUGGCGAGUGGCGAACGGGUGAGUAAUAUAUCGGAACGUGCCCAGUCGUGGGGGAUAACGUAGCGAAAGCUACGCUAAUACCGCAUACGAUCUAUGGAUGAAAGCGGGGGAUCGCAAGACCUCGCGCGAUUGGAGCGGCCGAUAUCAGAUUAGGUAGUCGGUGAGGUAAAGGCUCACCAAGCCGACGAUCUGUAGCUGGUCUGAGAGGACGACCAGCCACACGGGGACUGAGACACGGCCCAGACUCCUACGGGAGGCAGCAGUGGGGAAUUUUGGACAAUGGGCGCAAGCCUGAUCCGGCAAUGCCGCGUGCAGGAUGAAGGCCUUCGGGUUGUGAACUGCUUUUGUACGGAACAAAACGGCGAGCUCUAAUACAGUUUGCUAAUGACGGUACCGUAAGAAUAAGCACCGGCUAACUACGUGCCAGCAGCCGCCGUAA
rnacentral:rRNA from 1 species